rnacentral:rRNA from 1 species
AACUUCUGAAUGUUGACCUCGGAUCAGGUAGGAAUACCCGCUGAACUUAAGCAUAUCAAUAAGCGGAGGAAAAGAAACCAACAGGGAUUGCCCUAGUAACGGCGAGUGAAGCGGCAACAGCUCAAAUUUGAAAUCUGGCUCUCGGGCCCGAGUUGUAAUUUGUAGAGGAUGCUUUUGAUGCGGUGCCUUCCGAGUUCCCUGGAACGGGACGCCAUAGAGGGUGAGAGCCCCGUCUGGUUGGAUGCCAAAUCUCUGUAAAGCUCCUUCGACGAGUCGAGUAGUUUGGGAAUGCUGCUCUAAAUGGGAGGUAUAUGUCUUCUAAAGCUAAAUACCGGCCAGAGACCGAUAGCGCACAAGUAGAGUGAUCGAAAGAUGAAAAGCACUUUGAAAAGAGAGUUAAAAAGUACGUGAAAUUGUUGAAAGGGAAGCGUUUAUGACCAGACUUGGGCUUGGAUAAUCAUCUGGGGUUCUCUCCAGUGCACUUUUCCAGUCCAGGCCAGCAUCAGUUUUCGCCGGGGGAUAAAGGCUUCGGGAAUGUGGCUCUCUCCGGGGAGUGUUAUAGCCCGUUGCGUAAUACCCUGGCGGGGACUGAGGUUC